UACGUAGGGGGCAAGCGUUGUCCGGAUUUAUUGGGCGUAAAGAGCGUGUAGGCGGCCAGAUUAGGUCCGUUGUGAAAACAUCGAGGCUCAACCUCGAGACGCCGAUGGAAACCAUUUGGCUAGAGUCCGGAAGAGGAGAGUGGAAUUCCUGGUGUAGCGGUGAAAUGCGCAGAUAUCAGGAGGAACACCAAUGGCGAAGGCAGCUCGCUGGAACGGUACUGACGCUGAGGCGCGAAAGCGUGGGGAGCGAACAGG
rnacentral:rRNA from 1 species